UUGCUUUCGUUUCUGGAUCAGGUAAAGUGUUUACCUGGAGCAGAGAGAGCAGAAAUAAUCCAAGAGGCAAAUGUGAGUCAUAGUCAAGGCUAGCAAAAAGUCCCUUCUGGGAGGAGACUAUCAAGCAUCAGGUCUGGGGGCUGAAAUUGAGAUUCGCCCCAAGGAUACCGGAAAUAAUUUAGAAAGAGAGCAGGUGGAGAGGAGGUGGUGAACAGGGUGAGGGUGUCAGACUCCUAUUCUCGUUGGCAGCUGGCUCACUGAUGCAGUGCUAGAUUUACCACAACUUCCCACAAAAUGCUCCACUUCAAGUAAGGUACAUCUACCGGCAGCCAUGGAUGCCCUCAAAAUACUGAUGGGAGGCACGACUCUCAAUCUUCAUCAGCCUUCGAUAUCAGCACCGUCUUUGAAAGUAGACAACACUGAAAAAAGAACAACAUCACAAAGGCAGAAUAUUCCUGAAUCAUCUUGUCUACCAUAUAAAUUCCUGAUUGAUGGUGAUCGUAGUAAUCAUCUUCACUGUCGUCAACAUCUUCAAUUGAGUGCAUAGCAUUUACAAGGGGUCCUGGGAAUCCUCAAGCAUCUGUGGACUACACUUUGAGAACCAGAAGUGCGGCAGUAGAGGAGAUCAUCAAAUAAUCCAUUUACCCAUCUAGACCAGCAUCAACUACUGGAUAGCCAUCAGCCCAGCUCUAUAUAAAGCAAGUCAUUCCAGGACAUUUUAAUUUCUUUCUUUGAUAGAAAAAUAGGCCAAGGAGUUAAGAGAAUAACUACCAUUGUAAUAAAAUCACUUUGAAACUGUUUAAAAGUCUUGUU
rnacentral:lncRNA from 1 species